GAUGAACGCUGGCGGCGUGCCUAACACAUGCAAGUCGAACGGCGAUUCCGGACGGACGUUUUCGGAUGGAAGCCUGUAAUUCUUGGUGGCGGACGGGUGAGUAACGCGUGGUCAACCUGCCCUAUACAGGGGGAUAGCAGCUGGAAACGGCUGGUAAGACCGCAUAAGUCGGUUAAAUCGCCUGAUUUGAUUGGGCAAUUAGCAAUCAGGUAUAGGAUGGGCCCGCGUCCGAUUAGCCAGUUGGCAGGGUAAAAGCCUACCAAAGCGACGAUCGGUAGCCGGACUGUGAGGUCGGGCGGCGACAUUGGGACUAGGACACGGCCCAAAAUCCUACGGGAGGCAGCAGUGGGGGAUAUUGCAAAAUGGAGGAAACUCUGAUGCAGCGACGCCGCGUAAGUGAAGAAGUAUUUCGGUAUGUAAAGCUCUAUCAGCAGGGAAGAUGAUGACGGUACCUGACUAAGAAGCCCCGGCUAACUACGUG
rnacentral:rRNA from 1 species